rnacentral:rRNA from 1 species
GACGAACGCUGGCGGCGUGCUUAACACAUGCAAGUCGAACGAUGAUGCCCAGCUUGCUGGGUGGAUUAGUGGCGAACGGGUGAGUAACACGUGAGUAACCUGCCCCUGACUCUGGGAUAAGCGUUGGAAACGACGUCUAAUACUGGAUAUGACUGCCGGCCGCAUGGUCUGGUGGUGGAAAGAUUUUUUGGUUGGGGAUGGACUCGCGGCCUAUCAGCUUGUUGGUGAGGUAAUGGCUCACCAAGGCGACGACGGGUAGCCGGCCUGAGAGGGUGAACGGCCACACUGGGACUGAGACACGGCCCAGACUACUACGGGAGGCAGCAGUGGGGAAUAUUGCACAAUGGGCGAAAGCCUGAUGCAGCAACGCCGCGUGAGGGAUGACGGCCUUCGGGUUGUAAACCUCUUUUAGUAGGGAAGAAGCGAAAGUGACGGUACCUGCAGAAAAAGCACCGGCUAACUACGUGCCAGCAGCCGCCGUAA